ensembl:lncRNA
GGGAUCCCGGGAAUCCCCUCGGGAACGGGGCUGGAAUUCUGGGAAUGCCUCGGGAACGGGGCUGGAAUUCUGGGAACGGGGCUGGAAUUCUGGGAAUGGGGCUGGAAUUCUGGGAAUGGGGCUGGAAUUCCGGGAAUGCCCUCGGGAACGGGGCUGGAAUUCCAGGAACGGGGCUGGAAUUCCGGGAAUCCCCUCGGGAAUGGGGCUGGAAUUCCGGGAACGGGGCUGGAAUUCUGGGAAUUCCCUUGCGAAUGGGGUCAGCAUUCUGGGAAUCCCCUCGGGAAUGGGGCUGGAAUUCCAGGGAAACCCUCAGGAAUGGGGUUGGAAUUCCGGGAAUCCCCUCAGGAAUGGGGUUGGAAUUCUGGGGAAACCCUUGGGAAUGGGGUCAGAAUUCCGAGAAUCCCUUGGGAACGCCCCCGGAAUUCCGGGAUUUCCUGGGAACGCCCCCGGAAUUCCGAGAUUUCCCGGGAACAGCCCCGGAAUUGCGGGAUUCCCUCGGGAACGCCCCCGGAAUUCCGGGAUUUCCCGGGAAGAGCCGCCCCUCACCUGAUGGAGCGGCAAGUGAAGAAGACGAUCCGCUUGAGCCGCUUGUUGUAGAAGAAAUAAUUGAAGGACCAGAGGCUCCCGUCCUCUCCAAAGGGAUCCGAGUCCAGGUCGGGAUUGUAGCUGGGAAAACAACGGGAAAAACAACGGGAAAAAUGGGAAAAACAACGGGAAAAACAACGGGAAAAACAACGGGAAAAAUGGGAAAAACAAUGAGAAAAACAAUGGGAAAAACAACAGGAAAAACAGGAAAAACAACGGGAAAAACAACAGGAAAAACAAAUGGGAAAAACAAUGGGAAAAACAACAGGAAAAAUGGGAAAAACAACGGGAAAAACAACGGGAAAAAUGGGAAAAACAAUGGGAAAAACAACGGGAAAAACAAUGGGAAAAAUGGGAAAAACAACAGGAAAAACAAUGGGAAAAACAAACGGGAAAAAUGGGAAAAACAACGAGAAAAACAGGAAAAACAACGGGAAAAACAACGGGAAAAACGGGAAAAACAAUGGGAAAAACAACGGGAAAAACAACGGGAAAAACUGGGAAAAAAAUGGGAAAAACAACGGGAAAAACAAUGGGAAAAACAGGAAAAACAACGGGAAAAACAACGGGAAAAACAGGAAAAACAAAGGGAAAAACAACAGGAAAAACAACGGGAAAAACAAUGGGAAAAAUGGGAAAAACAACGGGAAAAACAACGGGAAAAACAACGGGAGAAAUGGGAAAAACAACGGGAAAAACAAUGGGAAAAACAACAGGAAAAACAGGAAAAGCAACGGGAAAAACAACGGGAAAAACAACGGGAAAAACAAUGGGAAAAACAAACGGGAAAAAUGGGAAAAACAACGAGAAAAACAGGAAAAACAACGGGAAAAUCAACGGGAAAAACAAUGGGAAAAACGGGAAAAACAACGGGAAAAACAACGGGAAAAACAACGGGAAAAACAAUGGGAAAAACGGGAAAAACAACGGGAAAAACAAUGGGAAAAACAAAUGGGAAAAACAAUGGGAAAAACAACCAGGAAAAAUGGGAAAAACAAUGGGAAAAAUGGGAAAAACAACGGGAAAAACAACGGGAAAAACAAAUGGGAAAAACAACAGGAAAAACAACGGGAAAAAUGGGAAAAACAAUGGGAAAAAUGGGAAAAACAAUGGGAAAAAUGGGAAAAGUGAGAAAAAAAAAAAGGGAAAAACAGGAAAAAUGGGAAAGGCUGGAAUCCCCCAGGAAAAGUGUGAAUUCCCAGGAAAAUCAGAAAUUCCCCAGGAAAAUGAGGAAUUCCCGGAAAAAUUGUGAAUCCCCCGGGAAAAUUGGGAAUUCCCGGGAAAAUCUGGAAUCCCCUGGGAAAA